UCAUAUAGUCCAAACAAAGUUCAGUCAUAUCCAACACGAGCACGACAAGUUCACACGGUCACCAAGACACCAUAUAUCAGGUUCACAUUAUGUGCACCAAUCAGCUUUUAUUCCAUUAACUAAUUAUAUCACAUAUAUGCACUUUAGUUUGUUAGAAACAUAACCACCAAGACACCAUACAUCAGGUUCACAAAUGGACAACUAAAAGAUGUAAGUAUGGGAGAUGAGUUGUACAAAAUGGAAGCUAAAACAUCAAGUUGACAAGGAUAGCUGGCUUCUUCGUUCCUUGUGAGUGUCGUCCUUUUGUUUGCUUCCUACAAAAGUUAAAGAAUUCUCAAUUACAAUAGACUAUCAUAAGCUGCAUUUUGUUUGCUUGUUUUCAAUUUUCAAAUAUUCCAUAUGUGAGUACAGUACUUUUUUAAGGCAUGCAAUCCAAACACGUAACAAUCGAAAUAACAGUGUGAAAGCAUCAUAUGAGAGACACAUGUCAAGAAAAAAGGAAUCUGAUUUGGAAGAUUUUACCUAAAAUGCUUUUGACUUUUGACUCCUACAAUGCAAGCAAAUCAGUUUAGUAAUUGUGGGUUUUUUUGAUAAUAACAUAAGGGAGCAAAUAGUUAUUUGCUAUAGUACUACUACUACUACUCCUGGCCCUGUCCUAAAGGUAAAAGGCAAGACAAUACAGAGGCAUCCAUCCCUUGUUUAUACAGUACUCCCUCUGUCCCAUAAUGUAAGAUGUUUUUUGACACUAGUCUAGUGUCAAAAAACGUCCUACAUUAUGGGACGGAUGGAGUAGCUUUUAACCUUUCAUCUCUCCGAGGGGCAUAUAACUAGAAUAAUUAUUGGAAUGAACAAAUGUGGAAACAGUUCAUUAUUUGUAAAUAAUUAGAAUCGUUUGAUAUAAAUUUCAUCUUUCCGAGGGGCAUAUUACUUUAAUAUGAAGAAAAAGUCUCGCGUGGCAGAAGAUUCACAAGCAUUGCCAAGGACUACAAAUAAAAGUACUUAUUCAGUAAUUAGUAGCAAAAAGUUUGAGAGACCAUACAUGCAUAUCUAUAAGUAAUUAGAAACAACAAGUUUAAGAGGUUAAUUGCCUCAAAUGGGUUUCAGUAAGGCACAAGACAAGAAUCUAGCUAUGUUCUCUGAAUAAGCCAAAACGGAAGAACAUUAAGAAUUUACCAUCACUCUGAAAUGAAAACAGGAAAACAUAUACUGAAUUACUCUCAUUUUCUAUGAAUAAACGUAUCAAACCUAGCUAACCCUCGGUUUCUAGAAAAUAGGAUAGAUGCAGGCCAAAUUGAUUUUUAGUUAUUGCUACUGUCUAGAGCUCGUAAAAUCUUCCUUUUAACUAAAGCUCACCAAAUAGUUCGAUUCAUAAAUUCUUGAAGCUGAACAUGGCAUAUUCAUUCAUGCUGCAGCCCAAUAAUACAUGUAUAUAUAAAUGACUGAACCAUCCACGUCUCUCUCUCUCUCUCUCUCUCUGAAACCGAAUUGAUCUCUUCUUCUUUCUGUUCUAUACAAGUACGCACGAGUUAACUGAAACCCAAAGCACUCCGAGCUACAAGGACAUAUUCAGAUUGGAGUGUCACCAAACUGUGGCAAACUAAACUAGCACAUUGGAUUUGAUUGGCCCUAAAAGGCUAACUGCAAGCAAAGACUGGAGGAAGGAAGGAUCACCGGUCGAUGCUGCAGCAGCCCGCUGUUGAAGGCGUGGUGGUUCAGGCAGUGGAGGAAGACGAGGAGUAGAACAUGCCACUGGUGGCCUGCUAGGUGCGCCCCUCCUCCUCGAGUGGGGCAAGGACGGCAGCCGCUAGGCUCGUCGAGCUCGGAAUCCUAUGGAAGGAAGGCCUCCGCGCCGCCCUGUCCCGAGAUCCAGCGCUUCGACCCGUCCGCGUGAUGGGUGACCUGCAGCAAGGGAUUGAAAAAGAAGGUGAGUUAGGGUGAGGAGGGGAGGUUGGGCUGGCAGUUGCUGCGGAUCCCGGCGAGGAUGGAGAGGGUGUACCUACUUCAGCCACGCCGACGUGGGAGCCGCCAAAUCCCUAGCCGUGGGUGAGGGUAGGGGCCAUGCCCGGCGGAUCUGGCCAUACUGGAUGAAGGCCCGGUGAGAGGGGAGCGCGGAAGCCUGCUGCGCCCCGGUGGAAAUCGCCGGAACCCGCCGGCGUGGGCGGCGGCGAUGGCAUGGAGUCGCGUAGGGAGAGGGGGACUCGCGCGCGCGAGAGAGAGAGGAUAAGCAAAUCGAGCGGGUGGAGAAGGUAGAUCAGCUCGAGGGGGAGCAGUAGGUGGCAAGUACGGCAGCGAAGCAUGCCGGCAGUGGCCGGAAUCGAGCGGCGGCGCCAGCGGCGGAGACAGAGGGGAUCGGGCAGGAGAGCUGAGAGAGAUAUCGAGGGAGAAGUGAGAGAGAGAUGGAUGGAUUGGGUGGGUUUUUUUUUU
rnacentral:lncRNA from 1 species